GAUUCAAUAAUAUUUCAAGUUGGAUUCAGCUGAAGGACCCUUCAGAUUCUGUCAUGUAACUGACUACUAAGAGACUUUAACUCUUUCUCUCCCACUCUACCCCGCAUCAUCUGCAGUUGAGCAUUCUUUAGGUCACCCAACUAAGUGGUUCUGGAAGCUAUAAUGAAGGUCUUCCUGAGCUGAUCCUGGGAGCAAAGGCACACCAGAUAAUGCAUAUUUGAGUAUUAGGUAUUUCAAAUUCUCUGGUAUCCAACAUGGUUUUCAUCUUCUGCCUCAGGUGUGUGAGGAUAUUCCGAUCUCAUCAAUUGGACUCUCUGCUUGAAUUUCAGUGGCUGUAAGUAGGCAAAAGAAAGCCAUCCAUAACACAUCUAAACACAGGUAACUGUCUCUACAUGCCUACAUAAGAACAAGCUCCCAUCAUAAUCUAUAUAUAUAGUUGAGCAAGCC
ensembl:lncRNA